rnacentral:hammerhead_ribozyme from 1 species
AUCCAGUUGACGAGUCCUAAAUAGGAGGAAACGCGCGUCAAACUUGAU